UGCGACACAACCAAGUAUAGGAGGUCCAGCCUGCCCAGUGACUACAAGUUCAACGGCCGCGGUAUUUUGACCGUGCAAAGGUAGCGCAAUCACUUGUCUUUUAAAUAGAGACCUGUAUGAAUGGCUAAACGAGGGCUUAACUGUCUCCCCUUUCCAGUCAGUGAAAUUGAUCUACCCGUGCAGAAGCGGGUAUAAUAAUACAAGACGAGAAGACCCUUUGGAGCUUAAGGUACAAAACUCAACCACGUUAAGCAACUCAAUAAAAAGUGAAAACUUUGUGGAACAUGAGAUUUUACCUUCGGUUGGGGCGACCACGGAGGAAAAAAGAGCCUCCAGGUGGAACGGGAGAAUUUCCUAAAACUAAGAGAGACAUCUCUAAGCCACAGAACAUCUGACCAAAUAUGAUCCGGCUAAUACAAGCCGAUCAACGAACCAAGUUACCCUAGGGAUAACAGCGCAAUCCUCUCCCAGAGUCCAUAUCGACGAGGGGGUUUACGACCUCGAUGUUGGAUCAGGACAUC
rnacentral:rRNA from 1 species